AUUUAAAGCACAUGGCUUCCCCCAAAGAAUCCUGGGAACUGUAGUUUGUUGAGGAUACUGGGAAUUGUAGCCCUGUGAGAGAUAAGGUAAGUUCCCAGGAUUCUUUGGGGGAAGCUAUGUGCUUUAAAU